UUGAGUAAAAUACUUUAAAUAAAAAUUUAUUUCCUAAUUUUCACAUAAAAUAUUUAUUUAUAUUCAUAGUUUUUCCGCGUGCGUUUUCAUUUAAAAUUAAAAUGGAUUUGGGUGUCACAAGGUAACAUGAAAUCGCAUUGUGGCAUACCAAGGACUGUGAAGUCUUGGACCCAUUGAGCGGGCCCCUAGCGAUAUAAUUUAAUGCAACUCACAUAUGGUAAACACAUGAUAUUAAAAUGGACAAGAAUUAACCACGGGCAUGUACUGAAAUAAAUCCCACACCUGAAUUUUGAACUUGAACUUGAAAGCUAACUUUGAGAAAUUCAAUCAAAAGUAACGUCCUAGUCACGCCGCACCUAGUCAGAUAAAUUCAAAAUAAUAAUACAUAAGGGGCCUAAUUGAACUUUUAAAAAUAAUAAUAAUAGUAGUUUAAAUCUUAAGAAUUUAUUAUCAUAAAAUCAUUUGGAAAAUAGUUGGUCUAAUGAAUCAAAAUAAUAAAAUGCAUAUUUCUUUAAAAUUUGAGUUGGGAUUUAAUAAAAUCAGGUCCAAUGCAAUAAUGAAAUUUAAAAUAUGAAGUUCAUAUGAUAUUUAAAAAGAGCCCAAUCAUUUAAUAAAAUUAAGCCCCAAUUAAAGCCCAUUUCCAAGCCCACUCUUCUUUCUUGCCCUAACUUAAAAGUCUUACACACACACCGUACAUCACAAACUCACGCAGCCCCCAUUUCCCUUCUCCCUCUCUCCCUCGGUCUCCCCUCCUGCCGCCGCCACCGGACGGCAGCGCCGUCGCCGGAGCCGGCGGCUCUGCCUCCUCUCCCUUCCCCCUUCUUCCUAUCUCCCUUCUUCCCUCAUCUCUCGCCCUCGCCUCUCAUCCCCCUCUGUCCUUCUCUUCGUCGCCUGCCAGUGCCACCGCCCCGUCCUCAACUCCUUCACCUCCUGGCCGACAGCAGCAGCAGGGCUGCCAUCGCCGCCCUCUAUGUUGACAGCAGCACCACCCCGCCACCCUCUCUCUCUGUCCGCCCGGAACAGCACGGCAGCGGCCGAGAGCACAGCGCCGCCGCCCCUGUCUUCUCUUCGCCGCCGCCUCUGCCAGCAGCAGCGCACAGUGGCGCCAUUCAAACACCUCCCUCCUCCUCCGUAUUCCAGGCUCAACAUAAAACAAACCCACCUAAACCUACUUCUAUUUCUUCUCUGUUAUUCUAAAUUUUCUGUAAAUUAAUGAAAAUGCUAUUCUUGGAUUGUAGGGCUUUUGAUUCUUUUGAAAAUUUGGGAAUUUACAAAGAAAACAGAAAUUAUUGCAUAUGAGUAUUAAACUUACAGAAAAUAUUAAAAGUACCGAUUGGUGAUGUGCAGUGAGAAAUGGCAGAUUGAGUUUAUAUGGUGAAGUGAACAGAUGAGGAGUGAAUUGCUGGUAUACAAAUUCGGGUGAUUUGAGUUUAAAUAGGACUAAAUUCUUGGGCUGCACGAAAUAGUUUUCUACUAGACUAAAUAAACUUGUUCUUGAAGCUCACGAAAUUUAUAAACAAACCAUACUUG
rnacentral:lncRNA from 1 species